UACGGGAGGCAGCAGUGGGGAAUAUUGCACAAUGGGCGAAAGCCUGAUGCAGCUAUGCCGCGUGUAUGAAGAAGGCCUUAGGGUUGUAAAGUACUUUCAUCGGGGAGGAAAAAACAAAACUAAUAAUUUUAUUUCUUGACGUUACCCGAAAAAGAAGCACCGGCUAACUCCGUGCCAGCAGCCGCGGUAAUACGGAGGGUGCUAGCGUUAAUCAGAAUUACUGGGCGUAAAGAGCACGUAGGUGGUUUUUUUAAAGUCAGAUGUGAAAUCCCUGGGCUUAACCCAGGAACUGCAUUUUGAAACUGAAAUACUAGAGUAUCGUAGAGGGAGGUAGAAUUCUAGGUGUAGCGGUGAAAUGCGUAGAUAUCUGGAGGAAUACCUGUGGCGAAAGCGGCCUCCUAAACGAAUACUGACACUGAGGUGCGAAAGCGUGGGGAGCAAACAGGGAUUAGAUACCCGU
rnacentral:rRNA from 1 species